AAGUCUAGUUGGAGACAGGAUCGUGUUGCAGAUUGCAGUCACAACAAGCGCUGCAUGAUAAAACCUAAGAAAUCGAUCGAAGCGCCUUAUUUGAGUAACAUCUUCCGAUAUGUGAGAGUACAGACAAGGUACCUCAUCGAUAAUACGAGCCUAGCUCUAGUUCCUCCACUGGAGUUUCCAGAUCUGUGUAUGUCUGGCGUUACGUUAUAAUAUUAUAAAGCGACGAUAGAGGAUCACAGGUAUUAUAAUCGCGAAAUGUGUCAAAGUAAAUGAUCAUCUUACGUGAGAAUUGUCUGAAAUUCAUGGAAAUUCAUAGAAAUAUAUCCACAGAAUAUUCAAAACAAUACAGGCUUACGGCUCCAUCGCAGUACCAUCGAGGUUUUGUUCCCAUAGCUUCGAGAGCCGCUGUUAUAAAGGAUUAGAGGGAGAAAGAGGAAUCGAAUACAUGUGAGAAACAAACGAAAGAAAAUACACGAGAAGAGAAAGAUAGAAAACAGUAACGGAACAGGAAGAGGGAAAAACUGUGACAGAGGUGGCGGAUGGGUAGGAUGUUGCACACGCAAUGAUCUUCGCUUAUAACGGGACCUUAUAUUCCGAUAGGUCUGAGUGGUGUUAGAAAAAUUAUUGGGGAAAAUUAUAACAUUAUCGUGGAACGUAUUGCACCUACCAUUGGUCUCGUACAAGUUAAGGCGAAGAAAAAGAAGAGAAAGAGAAGAAAUGAAAAUAUUACAUGUUAGGACAGAUAAGGACACCAUGAUCUUCCGCUGCCUUCUCGACGAGCUAAAUGUAAAUUUGGAUUGCUCGACCAUAGCGGGACGAUAACUGGGAAUUCAAAAUAGCGUCGUUUGGACGCCAUGAUGAUCAACAGUUAAUUUGUCAACUUCUCAUGGAGAUUGAGUCAGGUUUGUUAGAAUAAUAAGAUGUUUUAAUUAUUGUAACAAAAGCAAACUGAUACGUACGUUUAUAUUAUCUUUUCAUUAGAUCAUUGGUAAUACAAUUAUGUAUUUAUUGUAUAAUACAUACUUGAUACGUACCUUUGCACUAUGUAAUUAAUAUGUAAUAUGAUUGAACUAACGAAUAAUUGGUGGACACGUUUUUAUUCGUCGGUUCACUAAACGAAGAGGAAGUGCAAUCGGCGUGUCACGAACAAAGCAAUGCACGUGCCGCAAUUUUUCGUGCUACCGAUUGCGAAAGGUGAUGUCGUAUUGAAAAAAAGGGAAUAAAAGACCAAAGGUAGGGGCAAAAAAUAAAAUAGUGCCAGGUUGUGCAAAGAUCCAACCCGCUUUGGUUCCAAUGAAGUGCUAUUUAGUUGGACUGCGUGUCCUAUUACAGGCUCUCGUUCCGUUUUAUAAUGCAACGAUAUUUUCUGAACGUUGCCCGAUAAAUGAACAGCAAUUGUUCCCCUGGUCCGCGUUUUCUCAUUCCUUUUAUUUUUCCCUCUCUCUCUCUCUCUCUCUUUGUUUCGUUAUUCUCUUUGCUUCUUUCUCGUGCAAUUUCCUUUUGAACUCGAUCAUUCGACAUAUACAAGGUGUCCUAGUAAUCAUGGUACGGUUGAAAAAGAGUGAUUCUAUAUGAAAAAGUGUCGGAAAUAUGGAACGAAAUUUGUUCAUACGACGUUUCGAUUUCGAGAAAAUCGAGUUGGAAAUUUAUCAAGUAUACUUGAACUUGGCUAAUUUCAGACUGAAUAUGACUACAUAAACGACAAGAGGUUAUUCUACAUGUGAAAAUAAGUAAAAAAUGUGGAAUAAUAUUUCUUCACAGAAAUUUCCAAUUAUUUUUUCACGUAGAAUCAUUUACUUACCGACUGUACCAUUAUAAUUGUGACACCCAAUAUAUCGCGAAUAUAGGAGCGGCGAGUAAAACGAUGCAGUUCGUGGCAGUAAUGAUUGGAGAUGGAGUCACGCGAUCAGCGAUACUUUGGUUCUGGUGUGCAUGCGGCCUUAAUUAUUUUUACCAACCUUUCGUCCCAGACAAUUCGCUACAACUCCCAAGAUAAUUUCCCACUUGGCGAAUUAGCUUGUUCGCGGCUCGUGCUUAACGCCCAUCGACCACCGAUCUGGCUGUUCCAUGUUCUCGUUAAAUGGCAAUCCAAUUGCGUUAUUAUCCGUAAAAUGGGAUUGCCUUUCGAAAGAUCGCCGGGGCACUCUUCAUCGAUCGCUUUCGUUUAUUCGGGAUUAGUCGGAGAAAGUGGCUAUGGUUAUUUAAGAUGGAUUGCUUAGCUGGCAAGUGGUUCGAAUAAGGUUAACGAGCGUCUUAGUAGCUAGUAAUUUAUAGUUACCAGUAAUUGUCUACCGAUUUGUUAAACUGAAUAUCUAAUAACGAUGGCAUUAACUACGAUAACGUGCAAAUUAGUAACGUAGGUUGCUAAUAUUAAUCAUUGGUUGAACGUUUGUACGAGGAUUAUUUCUCGAUGGAAAAAUUGAAAUAAUUACAGUAUGGCUCACGAAAGUACUUCAACACAUACUAUACAAAACUUUUAUGUGUAUAUAUUGUGUGUGUUAUAUAAAAUAUCCUGAAAUUCUGUUAGCUCUGUAACGAAGCACGACUACCGUGGUUGUAUCGAUAAAAGUUGAGGCGAAUCUGAAAAUGUACGUAGAAGUCGGAAGAUAUUUAUUGCAAACAUAUAUAUAUUUAGAAAACAUUAGUAUGUGCCAUGGAGAUGUAUCUUAAGCAUAUAAUAAGUAUUCCAUUAAAUAAUUCCGCUAAAAAGUUGUUCCACUAUAUAUUGAUUCCUAUUAAUAUAUCUAUUGGAUAAUUAAUCGUUUAAAUGAUUUCACAAUUUUUGUGAGAUAUACCGUUGCAUUAAAUAUAUCGUAGCUGCUAUGUACGUUUUUAGAUUUGUUACAAACUUUACCAACAUAAUCAUGGCUAUCGUUGUAUAGGAUCUUCUGUUUUUAAGCAAUUUGAAGAAAUAAGUCAAUAUCUUACGAUUUAUUCUGUAUUAAAUAUUUUACUCCAAAGUCGCUUCAAAAUUGGCAUACAAAAUCCUUUAUCUAAGCGAUACAGGAAUCCAUGCGAUUAUAUAAAAACUUUAUACCAACAGCGAGCCUUAAAUAUUAUUAAAUCUAAGAAUUCAACAAUUUCAAAGUUUCCACACGUAGGCUGUUAUACUCUCUAUAAACAUUCAUAGAAAAUUCUCGUUCCCACAAUAACAAUAUAUACCGAUUGUUCCCCGCGUUAUUGGAUCAUAAAAAAGCUCCCGGUCUCAAAGGUAACGUGCGCAACAUUCAUAUUUCGCUUAGCAGUAAAACGAUUUAAAAGACGCUAUCGUGUAGAUGCAAAUUCGUCGUGUAGGCCUUUCCGGGCACGCUAUUUACGUUGCGGAUAAGCACAGAUUAAUCUUGUAGAAAGAUGCUCGUAAUUCUCACAGAUCUAUACUCUGGCAUACGUUUGUUUGAACGUCAUAUCUCACCACCAAUACGAUAUUUCUCUUUCAUCGUCGAACUUUUCCAGGAACAUAAAAAGAAUAACAUUGUAACUUUAUUUCGAUCGCGCGAAUGAGACGUAUCGCUCAUAUCGUUUGGGAAGGAUCACAAUUACGUGUAGGACAAUAAUUGUUUUUAAGAUUUUUGAAUCGACACGUGUUACUUACUGCAUUUCGUAUUCACUGUGCUGCCAUUCUCUUUGUAAAUUUUACAAUAAAAACAAGAACCUCCACCACCAAAAAUUGUUGCGCACGUCAGAAGCAGCACCAAAAACCCAGAGAUGUGAAAUGAAUCACAUUUGUGAUUGUAUAGAACAUGACGAGUGGCUUCACGUAUACCGACAUUUUGAUUUACAAGAUAAUGAUUAAGGGCAAAUUUAUUUUCAGUGAUUGAGAUUGUCUUUUCAAAUUUUCGGUUAUCAUUUUUUAAGCAAUAAUAUCGGAAUAAGAAUAUGAAAUAAUAAACAUUCUUGUAACAUUUAAAAAGAGUCUAUUUAAUUUAAAUACGAAUAUUGAUACGUGAAUUAUGAUUGGUUACACAAUCGAGCUUUAAUUUUUCCGAAGACAAUAGGUCGAGUUUGGAACUACUCAAUCAGUUAUGUUCAAAUGUUUAAUAAUCACAAUCGUGUAAUGUUUUCUAAAUAUGAAAUACAAUUUAUACUUGCAACGCAAAAGGGUAACAACGUAAUAAUCAUAGAAAUAUUAUAAUUAAGUGAUUUUUAUAGUUUUAUUCGUAUCUUUUUAAAUAGAAACUUAUUUGGAAUACAGUAGUUUCCGGUAUGGUUUAGCAUUUCGUCAAACGGCUAUUUUAUAGGACGCUUCACUGUCACGUAUGUUUGCUUAUUUGGUGUCUUUUACUCUUUUUAACGAAUAAACUAUUUAUAUGUUCUUUAAAUAAUUUAGUUUAUUCAGUGCAAGAAGCGUUGACAAUGAUUAAGCAAGAUGAGUAAGUAUAAAAUUGAUAUUUAUAAUAAUUCAUUGUCUAUUCUUUGUCGACAUGGAGAAUCAUGUACUGAUCUGAGUAUCAGCAGUAUAAAUUCUUUUAGCAAGUAUUUUUUGGAUCACUCAAUUUAGUUAAUACUUAUACAAAUUAUAUACUGAAAAACAUAUGAUAAAAUUUAUAGGUAUAUAUAUUAACAAGCAACAGUAAAACGUGUUUUCCCUUCCACGCGUUAGUUCUAUAUAAUCUUGUUAAAUAUUAGGGGUCAAGCGCAGAAUAACGAGGAGAGAGAUCGAAGUAGAGAACGUGAUCGUAACAGGAGAGUGGAACGACAAAAUCGCAUAAAUUCUACAAGCCGUGAUCGUAGAGAACGAAACGAUCGUGGUCGAAACGCUUCAGAUCGAUGAAUCUACGUAACAACAUUCUUUAUGAUUUUCUUUGAUAAGAUCAGAACAGAAGUUGGAAAAGUUGCUCAUGUUGAACUUUUUACUGAUGAAAAUGACAAAGUAAGAGGUUGUGGUAUUGUGGAAUUUGAAGAUUGAGACUCGGUAAAAAUUGCUGUAGAAAAAAUGCAUCGGUAUGAUGAUAAAGAGGACUUUGAUGUUAAACGGGACGAAUAUGGCCGGUUAGCAACAGCUCGUAACAAUGAAAGAGUUCGUGAUGAUAGAUUUAGGGAUCCGCCAAGGCCACAAGAUGGUGGGCGUCAAAAUAUGAAUGCUCCUGCUAGUGGAGGUGAUGGUGGUGGAGGCGGCGGUGGUGGCGGUGGUGGUGGUGAAGAUAGCAAAUUUGGGAAUACCUAUGGUCUAAGUACUCAGUUUUUAGAAUCUUUAGACAUUAAUGGACCUUUAGUUACUAGAGUAUUCGUAGCAAAUCUUGACUACAAAGUGGAUGAAGAGAAAUUAUUAGAAGUGUUUAAAUUAGCUGGUAAAGUACUACAUGUUGAAUUAGGAAAAGAUAAAGAUGGAAAAUCUCGAGGAUAUGGAGUGGUAGAAUAUGACCAUCCAGUAGAAUCUGUACAAGCUAUAUCAAUGCUUCAUAAUCAGCAACUUUAUGAUAGACGUAUGACUGUGAAACUUGACAGAGCAAAUGAACCAGACAUGCCACCAAAAUUACCAGAAGGGUUAAAGGGAAUUGGAAUGGGUCUUGGAGCUGGUGGUAAUAGAUUAAUGGAUGUAGCUAGAAACAUUCCUAUUGAACAAGCAAAUAAUCCACCUGUUGUGAGUCCUAUGUCUGCUCUUCUGUUGGUUGCUGAUGCUUUUAGAACUGGUUUAAAUAAUGUGCCAGAACAGUUAGGAGUUGAAGGUUUGUCUGAUUUACAAGCCUCUACUAGACAAGGCAACAAUUCAUUUGUGCGGCAAGGCUUAUCUAAAAUGGACAAUGAUGUAGGCUUCGAUAGAAACAAUGUUUUUGAUGGUUCUAACUUCGCUGGUGGCAGAAAUUUUGACGGUAGAUUCAACAGAGGGGACAGCGAUCGUGUUCCUGGUGGAGAUGGUGGUUUUGCCAGAAAUCAAGAUGAAGGAAGAGGUGGGAACAAACAGAAUACAUAUGAUUCUCGACCGAGGUCAGACAUUAUUCUUAUAAGAAAUCUCCCACCUAACACAACAUGGCAAACGUUGAAAGACAAAUUUCAAGACGUUGGAGAGGUGAAAUUAGUUGAAAUGCGGGGAACUGGCAUGGCCAUAGUACAAUUCGCAUCUAAAUGGGAUGCUAAACGUGCUGUGUCUAUGAUGAAUAGGUCACGUAUCGAUGGUAGGACGAUUGAUGUUUGUCUCUACUAACUUACUUUAACCGUUCGGAGGAAAAAGAAUCGUUCGAAUUGCCGGACCAGAUUCGAACUUUGAUCUGUCCUUUGCCGAGCAACUGCUGUUAUCAAUCGAGCUAUGUAGGUCAUCGACGUAUUCUUUCUUUUUAAGUCCGAUGCUCGAAAUGGAUGCUGUCUGCACUCUACUAGAACUCAUAUCGGGGAUAGAGAACAGGGAAUAUAGAGGCGUCGAGGAAGGAGCAAGUUUCGACGAAGUGUGCUGCAAGUGAAUCGAGUGAAGCAACGUGGCGCCGCUGUAGAAACUUGUCAGUAGAACAAGUCGACCUAAUGUCCGACCAUGAAGGUGCCUUGUCCGCUCGCAGAUGUUGCACUUUGUCUCCGUCGCUUGGCUACCACGUAUUUACAAGUUGUUAACGACCAACGAUCCACCAAAAUUUGUUCGUUAUCUCCAUGAUCGACGCGGUUCGAAGCGAUAAUGGUGUGGAGGGACGUGAGCAAACAAGGAAAGGAAGGACGAAAGGGAGGAAAACACGAAGACUCAACAAACGAAGGAUAUCCGAGCGAACUUUGUAAGUAAAUCUUCGUUUAUAAAUAAAAGAUUUAAUUGAAUUUCUGCGUUAAUCUAAAUAUUUAAGGCAUCGAGCGGUGCAAUUACCGCAAUGUUUAUUAUUGUCGCAUUUUAAUUUUGUUUUCGUUCGUUCAUUUAAUUCAUCAUCGUCGCCAUUCUCCAGGUAAUGAAUGGCGUUGAAAGGUAAUGCGCUUGUACACGUCAACGACGAUAUCGUUGAUGAUUAUUGCUGAUCGAUGAACAGCUACAUUUCAGGUUCACGCAGCAGACGCAAAUACAUUCUUGUGAUUGGGAGAGUGGCUGGAAAACGGGUGAAGUGGGCAAUGUUGUGAGUUUCUAAGGCGUCGUAAAGUAAAAAAUGGAACGAUAGAGGUGAAAUAAGUCGGGAAGAGUGGGGUGAGUAGGAAGGCAUGGACAUUGCAAAUUUGCAGAUCGCGCGAAAGAGGUUGUGGGGUAGAAGAAGUGAGCGUUCAUAGGCACAUUUUAGGGCGUGAGGGGAUGAAAUACGAGCCGACAGUAGCAUGCACGCGAAACGUCCGCUAAGGUGAAAUCGAGUUUAACGCGUUAAUAGAGGCUAGCGAUACUAAUUUACAGGAGUUGUUACUCCGUCAGUAAUGAUUCUUUGGUGUUCAAACUUCAUACGAUCACCUUGUUUCUUACAGGUGGACGAAGAUGAAAAUAAAUAUUUCUCUUUAACCUUACUAUGUGACAAAUGCAUCUAAGAAAUAUUGCUCGAAUCUGGUCAUCAUCUCAAGUUACUUUUAAGCGGUCCAUCGAACUAAAAUAUAUCCAUACGUUGACAAUUAGUCAAAAAGAUUUCGAUGAUGGAUAUGGUACUACGAUUCUUAAUUUGUUUGUGUCUUUACUCGUCUUAUCUCAUUGAGAAAACUUAUUGAAACAAGCAGAGUUCACUUUGACGUUAAUAAUUAACAUAUACAACGUUAAUAAUUAAGAAAUUACGAUUUUUAUUAAUUAAAUUAUAAAGAAACUACGAGUGAUAGGAAAUAGAUAAAAGAUGAAGGCAAUGAAACAUCAUUCUCUGUAAUUUCUUCCAAAUAGAGAAAUUCCUCUUAAACGACAAUCGGAGAUCCAUUUAAUAAAGUUACGUUAAAAUACAAUCGGAAAUGAGAAACUAGUUUUACAAAUUUUUCAGCUGUUUUCUGGCGACUAAGUCUACAAAAUUCUUGCAAGAACCGUUCACGUAGUUUAAAACCGCGAAGGUAUCGCAAAGAUGUUCGACGUAGCAAUAAUGGUAUGCAAACGGGAGCGCGAUUUCCUGUACAAGCAUCGAGCCUGGCGAGGAAGUGGCAAUAUUUGCAGACUGGCUUCGCUACCGAAAGUUCGGAAUCCAUCUACCUGAAGAUAGUGCCGAGCAAUAUUUACCCACCUGCAAUCAAUUUACUGAUUUCCUCACAAAUUAGAUCGAGCUUUGCGGCUACGGUCACAUAUACAUGCACCAAUAAACGAUUUUUGCUUCGUUGGUCGUCGGAUCUUCUGUAAUCUCUCAUUUCGAUGGGUUUAGGGAUAUCAAUAUUUGUAUGAAUCAUGAUUCGAUUCAACUAGUUGUGUUUAUAAUUCUACUAACGAUAACUGUGAUACGACGUGUAUGAAAAUGACCAUUCCUGAAUUUCAAAUUUUCACCUGAUUUUUAAUACGACAGUAACCCUCGUAAUUAAUCACACGACGCACACAUUUCAUGCUUCAGUUCAUUUUUAUUGUAAAAGUUAACUAAAGAUCCCUUGCUAUCAUAAAUACAUAUAAUUAUUUAUUGGAAUAACGAACGCUGUUUCCAUUGUAUUAUUGAUUAGGAAUUUGUAUGUGCUCGAAAUUUAAAUUAUUCGACCAGUGCACAUAGACUUUUGAAGUUGUUCGAAUAAUUACGAGAGAUAAUACAUAUACGAAGAUGAGUAUGGAAAUUAACGAAGGAGGCUAGAGUAUUAGUAGAGCUGAGUACAGCUUAAACAUAUUCAUUACUGCUGACAUAUGCAUCCAUUUAAUUGAAGGAGGAGCAAAACAACGAAUAUUCAUUACGUGUAAAUAAGUUAUCGAAUAAAAAUCAGAUAAAAAUAAAUUCACUUUAGAAAUCAUUUUUCAAUAUUUUAAUCGACCGAUCAUUUAAACGAGAAAAAAGAAAGGAUUUUUAGGUACGCUACAUCCUGUGAUAUUCGAUGAUACGCACUACAAUCAGAGUUACGUGAAAGUAUUAUUAAAUUUUUUAUACUUUUCUCGACAGGAUAACUGACGAUAAUUUAAAAAUGUAACACCAGCUUAACGUAAUUUCUUUGUUCAUAUUUUUACUUUAAUAGGGUCACGUAAGCGGAGAACGCGAAGUUACCUCGCACCCUUGGCGUUGCUAAUAAAGGUUAAUGAAAACACUAAUAAGGAUCCCGACAUUAUUUUUCAUUAGCGCGACGUUUCAUCGUCGCUGCUCUGACCUCUUCCUGUCGAGUUUCUUAUCGACUAGAAUCCAACGUAUUUCCUUUUGUUUCCUCGAGUAAAUUUUCCACGCUAAAGGUGCAGAGACGACGUUAUUAAAGGCAAUGAGGGAGCUUCCCUUUCGUUGAUAUCCAGGUGGAAAAGUUCGCGCGCGAGCUAUGAGAAAGAGAAACGCGAAUGGAGUCUCGGAGAUCUGAACGCGAUUGUUUCGUUUCAACGUGGCUGAUAACGCGUAGCUGCGACGCGACGACCGAGCUUUUGGCGCGCGCAAAACAAAUGCACGCCGUAAUUGAAAUGUAAAUUUUUCUGAAAUAAUUGAACGAAUCGAUUGCAAAACGGCGCGAAGAAAUACAAACCCUUUGUUAAACAAACAAAUUUGAUCCAAAAUUUAUAUUGAUACGAUCCAAAAUAAUGAAGUAUAUAGUUUAGCUUGGUUUCUAUUGAUUUAUAAUUACAUAUAUGUUUAUAUUGAGAAAGUUUUGUAUCAUCGUUUUAAUAAUUCGCUUGUAAAACAGACUUGUAAAGCUAUAAAUAGUAAAAGGCGAUUUAUAAAAUAUGGUCCUUUUACUUGUAAUGAAAAGAUUUUUCAUUAAAAUAAAUUAUAUGUUCAUGUAACAUCGUAUGUAUCUAUUACAAAAUGACAAUAAUUAUUAUAAUAAAAUAUGCCAUUCCACAAAAUGUAUAUGUAUAUUUUGAAAAGAUAUAUUUUUUAUUUUGUAAAUAGAUACAUUUUUUAGACUCUUGUUCUCUUUCUCUCGACCUCCUUUUCCGGAAAAUCGAAGAGAAAAGAUACGAUAUUUCCUGUGACCCAUGAUAUACAAAUUCUGUAGGAUCGAAACGUUCGACGAAAGGUUCGUUUGAUGUGUCAUGAAACUAGUCGAAUGUUCAGCGGACUCGUCACAUUCUCCUAUCGGCCAUUUUAAUCAAUUUGUCCCCAUCGAUGAGAAAUUUCCUGCCGAAUAUUUAAACGACUUCGAAACUCUUCGUUUCCCACGGGACAUCUUGAAGCGGAAAAUAGUUCGAUUACACUUUUUCUUUUAAUUGUUCAUUGCAAAUCGUCGAUUAUGAGACUUCACAUAAUUACGUGAAGAUGCUACGUAAAAUGUUAAUGCGCUACCACGAAUAGGAUUAAUUUUGCGUAAGGGCAAUUUCAUUUUAUGUGGAUCGAGGACGCAGACUGGUAACCGAAACUGGAAUUUUAGGUUAAAGUAUAGUAGAUAUCUACGAGGUAAGUGUGCCACGCGAGGCAUCUGUUGGCUAAGCACUAACACUUUCUCUUGUAGAUUGCAGAACGUUGAUUGUAGAACGAGAUAAGUUCCCGAGCUUUAUGGGGUUGGCGGUUAAAGGGAUGUGAAACUGAUAUGUCGUACAGACGUAACAUUUUAACUUUAAUUCAUAUCAUUCGAAAUUAUUACAAGUAUAAAAUUUGCUUAUGAACUAUUUUUCCCUACACGCUAGAAAAAAAUUCAUUUCAUGUAGAUCGAAGUUAUAAAAACUAUUCUGAUUUGAAUAAAAUAUUUAUGAAUUGCCAACUCCCAGAGAAAAGUCAACAAAUAUUAUAAACUCGUAGUUACUAUCUCAUAAAUGAAAAAAGGAGAAAGAUGAAAUAGGAAAUGUCUCUUCAAAUGCUUCGUCUGAUUUAUGGCGACCUAUACCACUUACGCUCCGUUUCUCUGCACAUCAUGUACAUGUUAUGUAAAUCUCUACGCUUACUAAUCGAUGUAAACACAUACUAAUCGGGUAAAUAAACAUGCCGCAAAGAAGAAAAUCUGAACUUUUACCAAUGGAAAACAUACUACGUUGCCUAAUAGACGAAUUUUGUUCAAUCUAUCAUCUAUUAAGGAUACUAGAUGUUUUUAUAUUCGCGUAAAACAAAAUUCAGUCAAAUCUAAUGUAAACACGUUGGAACUUUACGCUUUUACGCAUACAGAUGCAAUGACAUAUAAUAAUUCGUUUCAUCGCUAAUCAAAUCAGAGUAUAAAAUGUCUUAAACACGAUACGUGUAUCAGUCUCAAAUAAGCAAGUGUAGCCACAAGUACUUAACAUUUGACAGAGAAAUGAAUUGUAGCACGUAAUCUGUUCUGCGGCUAUAAAGGAUCGUCUCACGAGUAUAAAUGCCGAUUAAGAAGAUAGCAGGAGCAACGAUUACCGUGUUUCGUGUGCAUUCGUAUCAGUUUCGUGAGGAAUAGAAAACAGAGCUUAACCAGUUGGAAUUCAAGUUGGGGAAGUAAUCUCCCGUAAUCAAAGCCUUGUUCGACGUCGUAGCUUAACUGGAAAUCGGUAUCAACCAAUCCCAGGUGUUCAAUUGGCACCGUGCCACGAUUUAAGCCCAGCUUAAAUUUCUCGCAAUGGCCGGGGAACUGGGGCAGAUUCAGAUUAGAAUUAACUAAUUGUUGCGUAGAGCGGUGUAAUUAGCCCUUCGUUAACCGUCUACUAACGUUUAAUUAAAAUCAUAUACGGCGAUGAAUCGUUCGCGAUGAUACGGUUUGAAGGCGGCUGACAAGCAGCCGCGCGACCCAGUUAUGCAAAAAUCUAGAUCCUUGUGCCAGGAAUGCGGGAAAAUGUAAAAUUCAUCUUAUUAAAGGGCUGAAUAUAUUAGGAAAACGAAAUAUCCCUAGGAGACUGCCUCUUCGAUAUCUUAGUCAUGAUUCAUAAAUGUUAUUGCAGUUUCCAGUUGAAUUUAAGUUUCAAAUUUUAACUCUUCUCCACGCUGUUCUUGCGAUUCUCUGAAGCGAAGGAUAUAUAAACCUAUAGAAUACAAAUUUACUUAGCAAGUAGUUAUUCAUAAAAUUUCUAACAAUUAAACAUUAAGUGUUGUUCGAAUUGGGCUAUAAGGAUUUAGCCAUAUAAAUUUUUUAACCGAGUAUAUCUUCAUCUUUCAUGAUCAACUAUAUAACAAUUUAACGCAAUAUAGUUAUCGUCUAGUAUCAAUUACUGCUAUUUAUAUCUAUUCACAGUAAUUAUCUCACCACAUCCAUUUAUAUCAGAAUAUAUAAUACUUUUGCUUUCUACAAAAAUGAGUGCAUAAAAACAAACACUACUAUAUAUGUAUGUUCUAUAAUUCCAUAUUGAUAAAAGUGAAAUAUUCUGAAAUAAAUUUACUUUCUACGAUUUCCCAUUAAAUGUGCACUGUAGUUCAAUAUGAUCAUUCUA